rnacentral:lncRNA from 1 species
GAAAGGUAGCAGAAUACAACAGUUACUAAUAGGGCAUUAUGUAAAAUUGUGGAUGUGUAACCGAUGUGAUUCUGCAAUCUGUAUUUGGGGUAAAAAUGGGAGUUCAUAACCCACUUGAAUCUAAUGUAUGAAAUAUGAUAUGUCAAAAGCUUUGUAAUGUUUUGAACAACCAAUUAAAAAAAAAAGAAAACAAUUAGCAAACUAAGCUACUAAUAAUUUAUGCUCCAGUUGUACGUGCAAGCACGGGAAACUACAGCAAGGAUGAGCUACCAGUGCUCAGGAGUCAGGGCUCAGGAGGGCUGCUGACCCGAGUAGGUCUGAAGGAGUCUGGGCAGACGGGUAAAGAAUGGAAAAGAUGAUGUGUCUGGACUAGCAUUUAAGGCUGCGUCAGCACCUCUGACAGACAAAGGGUUAAUAUCCUUAAUCUAUAAGGAACGCCUACCAAUCAAUAAGAAAAAGAUAAGCCCAGCGAUUGAAAAAUGGGCAAAGGACAUGAAUAAAUGACAAAGGGAGAAAUACAAGUGGAUAAUAAAUGUAUGAAAAAUGUCCAGCCUCAUCAGUAUUCAGUGAUAAGCAAAUAAAAACAAGAUACAAUUUUCUGCCUACUCAAUUGGGAAAUACUUUUAAAGUGUUUUAAAUGGAAAUAUCCGGUAUUGGUGAGAAUACAGAAGCUGGGCAGACUACACACUGCUUGUGGGAGGC